GACGUAGGGCGCGAGCGUUGUCCGGAUUUAUUGGGCGUAAAGAGCUCGUAGGCGGCUUGUCGCGUCGUUCGUGAAAUCCCGUGGCUCAACUGCGGGCUUGCGGUCGAUACGGGCAGGCUUGAGUUCGGUAGGGGAGACUGGAAUUCCUGGUAUAGCGGUGAAAUGCGCAGAUAUCAGGAGGAACACCGGUGGCGAAGGCGGGUCUCUGGGCCGAUACUGACGCUGAGGAGCGAAAGCGUGGGGAG
rnacentral:rRNA from 1 species